AGGGGCUGCGCAACCGGGCGGCCCACGGCGGGCAGGGGAUGGCGGCAGCCCCCUGGGCCCGCAGCAGCCACUCUGCCCCUCCGCGGAGUCGGGACCAGGAGCGGCGGGCGGAGACGGGGCGCGCUGAGACGCUGGUGCAGCCCGGCUUGGUGGGAAGAAACGGUAGUUCGUCAUCUUACUCCCUGCUUGAUACUGUCUUAGACCCUUUCAACAGGGUCUGAAGUCUGAACCACACCAUUCAAGAGCAGAAUAUACAUUCCAAGACCGAAGUGCGAAACAGUUUUUCAAAUGGCUUGUGAAUAGAAAGUAUGGGGUGCAGCUCAGGUUAUCCCACUGUGAUGUGAUCCAGUCCUUCGAGGAAAUCAUCGAAGUUGAAGGUAGUGCUGUAAAAUGGAGCAUGGCAUAGCAUCAGGUAUUAAAGAGACUGAGGCAAACUAACCCUUCUCAAUGUAGAAUGAAACAUUUAGAGACUGUCAUCACUGUCAUGAGCCCACCAGAACAUGUUAUGGCUUUAAGAAAUCAGUUUCUUUCUGAGUAUCUAAGCAAAUGUAUUAAAGAUCAAAUUUUUACUGUGAGGGCAAAAAUGUUUGCACAUAUUUUAUAUACACUUAUAAUAUAUUUGUAUUUCCUGGGGGAGGUGAUAGUACCUUUUCCAUUUGAUGCCCUAGCAGUAUAUGCAAGUUCCAGUGCUGGAGAAGUGCCUUCUCAAGUCAUUGGGAUGAGGCAUAGCGUGCUGAUACAGUGACUGCUAUGAAACUAUUCAAACCUCUUCCAGUGAAGAUGAUUCACUUCUGUGAUUUUACCAGGACUGUCACUAGUUCACCCAAGGGCUGAAUUGCUUUUCUGUUACAUUAGGUCCAGCUGUGCUGUCAAUUUGUCGCCUUAAGCUUCAGCCAAGGGUCCUGAUGUCCUAAUUGUUGCCAUUGUAGAAAUCCUGGGGUUUUGGCUGGGAUGGACAUCCUUUGUGAGAAAACCAGGAGGAAGGAGAGAGGAUGGUUUUCCCCAAAGCCCUCUCCUCAUAGGCACUAUAGCCAUGGGCCAGUCUAAAGUGGGAGCCAUGGACUCAGUCCCCGCUGCAGAUCCCAAAAGUUGUUCACAUGCAUUGAAACAGUUCAAUCAACUGGCUGUUAAUAACAAUUAAAAAACAGCCUUGAGUCCUUGGUAAGUCCUUUAUAUUUCAACAUUUGUAGGGAUCCAGAAUAUUUAGACACAAAAUUCUCACUGAACAUAAACUCUGCAUAUAAAUCCUGGACUUAAAUCUCCUUGAGCUGGAGAUGUGAGAUAUCAGGCUUAAUCUCCACGAGCCUUCACUGAACCAUAAAUAUACUGACUACCAUAGCACACGGGAACAUCACAGAAGAAUUGACUACAAAUUUGCUAAUACUUUUAAAGAGAGAUAAAGAGGUAACAAAUGUGCUAAUGAUUAUCAUUACUGUUUACCACCAUGACACUCACUGGCUGGGAAGGCAGGAAAUAAUGUUCAGAAUAUCUGAGGAAUAUUGCCUUGUUUGAAAAUAUCUCUGCUACUAAUGUGAUGACUGUCUAUGGAGUUGUGGUUGCUGGGAAUUCACACACUGAUUUCAUGGAGAGAUAAAAGAGUGGAGUUUAUAUGGAAUAAACCCCUUUUGAAUAAAACAAUCUGCAUAAAUGCUUUAAGAAAGCCUAUAAUUAUGAUAAAAAUGUUGCUCAAAGUUAAAAUUAUGAAGCAAUCAAAAUUUAUAAACAGUCUCUCAUCGACUUUUAAUCAUACUUUCUCAUAUACAAACUGUAGAAAACAUAUAGUAGCAAUAUAUAACAAUAUGCAUUUUAUUUUUGGUAAUUUAGGGUGCUAUGUCAUGCUCUUUAAUCAGACAAAGCUUGGCUUGUCAAGAUCUGUCGUAUUAUCCUUAAAUGUCAAAAAACACAUUUAGGCCUCCAAGUUAUAUAUACACUUAGCUGAGGUUUUAUCCUGCUGGCAACCUCUGGAGAGGUGGUGUGCCCUCUCUGGGCUAGAUCCGAAGCUUUCUUCUGUCAUAUUCCCACCAAGAUCCUCUGGCUAGGGCCUCUACUCUGACUGCCUGCUCUGAAGGUGCUCACUCAGUCUAACACAGGAUCCUACUCACACCUCCCCUGAAAUUCUCUUGUAGACAUUGCUCUUCAUUUGUGAUUCACUAAGGAGAAUGCUUAAAUUAUAUGCAUCAUGUAGAACUUGGAUGGCAAGAGAUAUUCAAAACAAGGAAUAUUUGUAAUGGGAACCUUGCCAACUUGAAUGGUAGCCUACCAUGUCUAUAAGCUCCAUUGUUUCCUUUGAGCUGAACUAGCUGAACACAUUCAGGAUGCAUCCUGAUAGUAACAUGCCUCUCUUGGCAAGUAGUAAAAUUCACUGGUACUGUGUCCUUAAAAAUGUUAUCACAGAUAGGUCAAAUUAAUGAAGUAUUUGCUUCAAACAAUACAUAUUUUUUUAAUGCAGUAUUACUAGAUUCUUUUCUGGAACAGAAUAGCAUGCAGAGUAUUCCAUCUGAACUCCUUAUGAAAAUGAGAUCUUCUAUUGAACUGACUGGCACAGCUCUUAUAGAUAGAUUGAAGGAUGGAGAAGCACCAUGCAUGCAGCUUGACGUACAUUCUCAGAUAGCAUUUGACUAUCAAGCAGUGGCAUUCUUGGACGUGCUUGUUAUGCUCCUGCCCAUGCCCCAAAUCCAAGCAUGGUGCAACUUCCCUUUUCAGCCGAAAAAAGAGGACCAUUCUAAUUUUAGGACUUUGUGGUUUUGUGAGAGAAAGGCGAAUUUUAUUUUUUCUUCUUUUUACAGCCCAAUUUUCUGACUCUUGGCCCUAUUAGGGGUUUGCCUGCUGAAGGAUGGGUAGAAGUUAUUUUCUGUGAUUAAUACAACAUUUCACUUAAAAGACUUCUUUGCUAUGAAAUCUCUAUAUUUAGCAGUCUAUAAUCAUUAAAUGUAAACAUCAAGCUUCGCUUUGUGUCUGUAUGUGGCCUAAAAAUGUGGUUCUGUUUCUAGCUGAGAGAGAUGAAUGUCAUGAGUGCUCUGUGUAGGAUGGAGAACACAAAUACCACAACAAAACCUAAACAAACCUAAAGCAUGAAACAAAACAUUUUGUACACGUACAUUAAAAUUAUAUUGAAAAUUGGGAGCACGAACUACCAAACUAGGCUUCUUUCUGCAACAAACUGCAACGUCUGUUAAAAAAAAUUUAAAGCAUAAUUGCAAAUUGAAAUUUCCUCCCUAUUCUUCGACAUUUGCGUUUUUCUCUUAACAUCUCCCACAUGUUAAUGCAGCAGCUUCCUAACCCUCUUGUUAUGUAUCACAUUCAAAUGUAACAGUUUAGCAAAUUCUCCAAUUGUGUUGGUGUUCCCUUUCAGACAUGGAAAGCAAUUUGAUGUGUCCUUUUAAUGAGCCAUUUUCAUGCAAGGAGGAAAACAGUGGUUGGGGAAGUUACUAAAGCUUUCUGCUCAUUGAUUUUAAGACUCUCUAUUGAAUCUAUGUUGCUUAAAACCCAGAUUGUUUUGUUAGAAGAGUUAUUCAAACCAUAUUUUCUUCUAACUCCUAAGUUUGAAGAAAUCUAGAUUCCUUUUACUCCUUUCCAGGGGCUGCAGAUUUGUCACUGAAUUGACUCUACCACAGAACUGUGAAGUGAAAUCCAAGACUUAAUUUAAAAAGUUUUUAGCUCUUGGGUUGCUAAUGGUGACUGUCAAAAUGUUAGAAGGAUGCAAAACCAUUUGUGGAUGGUAGUGCAGGGGAAGUGCAGAGGGAAGUCUAAUAGGAGCAGGAGUUCUCUUCAUCUGUAGCAGGCACGGAUUAUAAAUCAUAAUGGUGACAAUAUAAAUGCCAUUUUUUAAGCUGUGCUCCUGUGCUGAUCAUUUCAGUGAUAUUUCUAAUGAACACAAACCUAUUUAUCUUGGUUGAAUGCUGAAGUGGACAGAGGGUAGCAUGCUCAAGAAGAAAACAUUGCAAUGGAUGGUUUCUUUAGAGAAACAAGAAACUUGGGACCCAGCAAAUGACUGUGAGAAGAACAGAUGUGCCAGACCCCCUACACUAGUCACUGAAGCAAACACAGCGGUCAUAAUCCUACUUAUGGUCACAUGUCUUCUUGUACUAGGGUUCCUUCAGGGUUUCACUUAACUGAGAAGACUCUGAGAGAUGGCACAUACUGAGCUUUCAAGCACUGACCAAUAGUGACCAAACUUUUGGCUACAGGGAGCCACAUGAGCUGUGUCACACUGUAGAAUGUAGGUGUGCUUUCCUAGCCCUUUGCUCUGGAGAGACAACUCAGACAAUGGCCUAGCUCCAUGAUGGACAUAGAUUGAAGUACACACCAUCUCAUCCCUGUGUUCAGGUUUUUUUUUUUUUUUUUUGGUGCACUGGAAAAGAGCUGUGGCAUGUAUGCCAGUGAGUCCCCUCAUCUAAAAUGUUGAGAUAUAUGGCUGUUGGGCAUGCUGGUGAGCAUAUGCACCCUACAAAAAAGAAUACAGCUGCAAUCAUCUAAGGAGGUUGGAGAAUGUACAACAAAAAAGCAUAAAGGAAGGUGGUCCCUGUAGCAUGUUGCAGACACGAACAUUCCCACAUGUGCAUGACAUUUAUCAGGGGCUGUGGGUAGUGCAUGUGUGCAAGGCAUAAACUUUUGGUCAUGUUGUCGGGGCAGCAGGGAUGUGUACUGGGACACUGGGUAAAGAAGUUACAGGAUACAAACUGCCAGAACAACUCAUCCAGAUUCCAGUUCCCUCACAGCAAGCUGGUGGUCACAGGGAAUAGGCUACAGGAUUGAAUGAAUGUUUUUCCGGACUGAAUCUUACUUGCUGAAUACAUGUGAAGCACAUUGGUACAACUCAUGACUACAAUUCAGUCUUGCAAAAGUAAAUUUUGUUGGAAUAAGGGACCAUUAGAAAGCAAAUUCUAUAGGACUCAUGUGAGUCCAUUUAAAAGCAAAAUUGUAGCUCAAAUAAGUUUUUUUUUUUUUUUUUUUUUUAAAUUAAAUAAUGGUUUUCUAAAAGCAAGGACUGACCACAAUGUAGUUAAAGUGUAGGUGAAAUUGUUAGCUGAAGCUACUGGUGGACAGAAUUUAGAAAGUACAGGCUCUAUAAAUUAUAUUCAGUAUGUUUUCCAAACUACAUAAGUAAAAUGCCAAUUAUUUAUUAAAAAUCCUACUUCAGUACAAAAGUUUAAAGUUUCUUUUUGGGCACAAUGACAUUGGCUGUACUUAGAGUCUGUAUAUUAGAAUGACAUAGGUCAUUGGGAAAUCAUAAAAGUCUUACCAAAGAGUGAAACCACUGCAUACAUGCUGAACUACGUAACCCCACCACGAAUUGUCUAAACAAAAUAAUUUGAUACUGGCUGUUUUCCACACUUUAAUUAGCAAGCACAGAUGGCUGUUGCAUAAUCCUAUUUAAUGUCUGUGCUGGAUACCUCCCGAAUAGCUCAAUGAUUAAGUUCAUACCUUAGUUUGGCUAAAUGCAUUAGCUGAAAGAAAACUGCUCACACUAAGAUUCACUUUCCGACAUAAAUUUAAUGCAGGCAUGUUUCCUUCCACUGGUUUAACAGAGAAAAAGCUCUAUUAACCUAUAGUAUGUUGGUUGCAAAGAUGCCCCGAGGUAUUUUGUAUAAAUGUAUAUUGAUGUCUUACGCGAAUUUUUCUUCCCCAGCAGAGUUUCUUUGCAACAGAGAUCACAGUGCCCCCAUUAGAUAAUCACCACCCUCAAUGACAUCCAGGCUAAUCAUGCAAUUGAUCACAGUAAAUCAAAGAUUUGGGAAUUCUCCGAACAGCUGUCUGCAGCUAACCCUAUCUGUGCAAUGGGCUGCCUUGGCCACAUUUCCCCUGGAGGCAGAUUUAUGAGAGGGUAAGGGAGGGCAGAUGUUGAGUCUGCAGCCCACCUGUCUGCAGUGCUGGGCCCCAAGGUAUAGUGAUGGCUGUAGUACCACUCCUGCUCCCCACCACUGCUGCUGCUGCCUUGGACUGCUAUUUGCCACAAAGCAACAAGAUCUCCAGUCCUGUUAAUUAUGGUGGCUAACAAGACACUUGCAUACCUGUAUGCAACAUGAAUCAUACUAAUUCAACUCUCAUCAUUUAAGAUUUUUGGAGUUACAAACAGUGUCAGUUCUACCCUGCUUUACCACAUUAGGAAAUAUAUUUUAAGAUGCUUAACCGUUUUUUCAUGUGAGAAAAGCAAAUUCUUAGUUGCUCAACAGGUGCAUAAGCAGUUAUUGGUAGAGGAGUUACGUGCAUUUACUUAGACAAAUAAAAAUUUACAUUAAAAUAACUUUCAAGUAUUUCAAAAUGUAGAAAUGAACAUGAUAAAAAAAUUCUAAGUGAUUACACAAGAUUUUAAUAAUUUUACUAUCUCAGCUCAGUUGGUCUCUCUAAAAAAACCCCUAAAACUACCAUAAAGAAAAGUAAUUAUGUUUUAUCUUAUCUCUCCCAGAAUAUAUUUUAUUACAAAAGUCUAGAACAUCUGUUGUGUAGCAUUCUGUGCAUUUUAAUAACAUAUUUUAAAAAUUUUUAAAGGGAGGAUACAUAUUUCUGUUUUUCAAAAUAUUUAUUGGAUGACAGAAUGUACAGAUAUCAGUGAGAUGUGUACAUAUGAUUUUUAAAGAAAAUGGCAGUGGACAGCUUGUGGUGGGUUUGUCUUAAAAUCACAGUAGUUCUUUCUGUGUCUGGCAUAAAGUUACAACUCACGGCCCAAAGUUACAACUCACUUCCUAAAGUUACACACUGGUUCUGUUCAAGAACAUGGGACAAUAUUCUAUCUCUUGUCAGUGGUGGAAGAACAGAUACAUAAUUUCACGCUUGAUUUUUUUAUAAGGAAGUUAGUUUUGAGAAUGCACUAUGACUUAGUAAUAAAAGGAAGCAUCGACAUAGUUUUGUAUCAACAUUGACAUUGUUUGCUGAACCAAGACCACAAACAAACUCAUCUCAACUGUACUGUUGUUAAUCUGUAAAUUAAGGGAAACCUAUUUCUUCCUGAAGGACAGAAAUUAUAACUUCUACAGAGGUGAUCAAUGUACCUGAACUUCCAACAAGACCAAGAGGUAUUCUUCAUGUCCUCAAGAUAUUACCUCUGCAUUAAAUACCACCUCGGGCUGUACUGAAAUGCUGCUGCCAGUGUAAUUAAGUCUGGCUUUUGUCCCCAAGGCAGAGAGAAACACAACUUAAGCCCAAAUAAAUGGUUGUGGAUAGGACCUGAGAUGGAUAUCUCAAAAGAAAAGAUAUUUCCCAAAUCCUAAAAUGGCUUUUAUGGUCCUGAUUGAUCAGUCUUCUCUUCCACAGAGCUCCCGCUGGAUGCAAAAGAGAGUUCAAUGGGAGAAAACAAUGGCUUGAGUGGAUGACAUGGAGUAUACUAGAAUACAUCUAGAAUUAAGUUAAUGUUCUCUUCAGGAGAAGGUGAAAACCAGAUACAGUAAUACACUACUGGUCCACAAGAAGCUUUUUUAGACAUUUUUUCUUUGGUUGGGUUUUUUAAAUGCAUUUCUGUUUGGGUGCUUUCUUUCAGGCAAACUCAAUGCAGAAAUUUAUAAAGAUCCCACUUAUUCCAUCUAUGUCCAACAAAUACCAGAAAAAAAUACAAAAGCAUGCAAGGAUGUUAGAUUAAUUAUGGGGAACACUGUGCUUGUUAAUGAUUUUCAUUAUAUUUAUUUAGAGUAAAGACACCAAAGAAAUGAGAAGGAUCUUUGUAUUAUAUUCUUCUGAAGCCCUGUGAUAACAAAAAGUUUGAGAUUCUUUUGAAUCACAAUAAUUCCUUUGAAAUAGGCAGAAGUGGCUAAUGUGGGAUUCCUGAUAUUCAGCAAUGAGAAAGGAAUCUUACUCAAAAUAUGGUAAUUCUUCCAUCUCUACUUCUUCCAUCUCUCUGUACACUCCCAAAGACAGUUUAUGUGGUAAGCUCUGCAAAUCAAAGUAAAACCAGGUAUUUCCUAAAGACAUGGUAGUACCUGGAGAAUCUUUAGGAACGCAAGAGACCCUUACACUGAAUGUCUUUUUUUUCUGCUGGCCUGGCUUGGUAAUAAAAGUUGAAAAGUUAUCUUAUGAAAAUCAAUGGCAUAUCUUAGAGAACACAGAAAGCAGAAGCACAGUUCAAGUAAUGAAUGGAAUAACUUCAAUUAUAUUUGGUUUGGGUGUAUGGACUGAGUUAACUGCACUUACAGAAAUGUGUUUUCAAGUUAAUUAUCUAAUGUAAUUUUAAUUUAAAUAUAUUAAAGGGACUUUUUUUUCUCA